GGCGAGAGCGAGCGAAUGGGGAGAGGAGCGGGGAGCAGGAGGGGACGCAGGGGAGAGGGGACUGGGGAGCGGCGAGAGGAGGACGGGAGACGCGGCUCCACCUCCCAGCUCAAAACGGCGUCCCAGCUGCUCGCAAACCAACUGCUCGAUUCUAUUCACUGUCGAGUAGGAACAAAAAAGUGGCUAUUUAUUAGAAUACUUGUUUGGUAUUGUUCCGCGCCACACAAAAGGCGUUUCAUUAUGUGGAGGGAUCUCCUUUUUCCAGAGAGAAACAAUAACUUGAAAUUGUCUUUAAAGUCUUUUCUAUCAAUAAUAAAUUUCAUUUUCUUGUCUCUCUCGCCUGCAGUGUGUGUGCGCGCGCGCGAGGCGAGGAGAGAGGCGCGUGUGCGAGUGAGUGUGCUAGCGGGGGUGCGCGUGUGAGUGUGCGCGUGUGUGUGCGUGCGCGUGGCACCGGCGCCCGCGGCUACGGGGCUGGCGCUGCCGGAGCCGGGCCGGACCGGGGUCCGAGAUCUGCGUCGCGCUGGGCACGCUGGCCACCCGGUCCGGAAUGAGUCGGGGCUCCGGGAGGUGCCCGUGGGCAGAGCGUUAGGGGCGCGGCCGUGCCGGACCCGCCCUGGGGACCCGCUGGAGCUGGAGGAGGAACUAACUGUAAGUGUGUCUCGAACUUGCGCGGGGGCUUCAGCCCGCCCGGGGCUGCGGAGCUGGCCGGUAAAGGCUCUCGGGAGAGGGGCGCGGUGUCUCCACGGUGACUUUCCGUGAAGGAGGAUGGGGUGUCUCCGCAGCUUUGGGGCCCCAGGAAAGAACAGAUGGCUUGGCAUCUUCUUCCGAGCAAGCGCAGCUCUCAGGCCGGGCCUGAGCCUGCAGCCUGUGUGCCCUCCAUCAUCAGGGCCCCCUCUCAGGACAGGCUACACCGAGGGUGGGACGGCGGACUUCCAGGGACACUUCCAAGUCGUGCCCAUGCAGAUACCUCAGUAUACACUGCCCACAGUUAAGAAACCACGACCUGAGACAUUGUUUUGAAGAGGUGAAAAUGCCUCCACUCAAGUGGCCCAGGAGCGUGAUCCAGGAAGACGAACACACAGAACCAUCUUCUGCAUGGUUUGAAAAUUCAGUGGAAACUAGGACUCCAAGCUGCUGUCCCCUCUCUGCCGCAUCUGAGGCUGGGAAAACUUCCUAGGAGAAGGCAAGAGAAAGCCACCAGACCAGAGCCGAGGACUAAACUUUAAGGUCGAAGACGGCAGAGGGGCAGGUUCUCCCCUGCACACCCCAAGGCCUCUCCUGCACCCGCGAGGCCUUCCUUGAGCGCCCAGGCCCCCGAAAUGCCUGCCCUCCUUCUGACAAAAGGAGGGGGUAGGAUGUGAAGGGGUAGUGCAACCAACAAUGUUUUUGUAAACACAACAACAGGGAAAUACAUGGAGGAAAUCU
rnacentral:lncRNA from 1 species